rnacentral:lncRNA from 1 species
CCUCCUGCUUGUCUCCAUCUUUAGCAUCUUCUCCAUCAAUACCUUCUUCUUUAUCUUUCUCUCCAUCAUCUCCUUAUAUUGUAUUACCAUCUUUAUCAUCAUUUAUAUCCACAACUUCUUUCUCCACCUCAUUUUCUUCCACCAUAAUCUCAUCUUCUUGAGGUGUAUUUUCUAUUAAAUUUGAGUUGUCCAUUCUGCCCAAACAAACAUAAAAUCACA